CCGUAACUAUAACGGUCCUAAGGUAGCGAAAUUCCUUGUCGGGUAAGUUCCGACCCGCACGAAAGGCGUAAUGAUUUGAGCGCUGUCUCGACAAUGCAUCCGGUGAAAUUGAAGUACCAGUGAAGAUGCUGGUUACCUGCGCCAGGACGGAAAGACCCCAUGGAGCUUUACUCCAGUCUGGUACUGGGACUCGGUAUUGCAUGUACAGGAUAGGUGGGAGGCUAGGAGAUGGUAACGCCAGUUGCCAUGGAGCCGCUGUUGGGAUACCACCCUUGCAGUAUUGGGUUUCUAACCAGCCGCCGUGACCCGGCGGUGGGACAAUGCCAGACGGGGAGUUUGACUGGGGCGGUCGCCUCCGAAAGGGUAUCGGAGGCGCCCAAAGGUUCCCUCAGAAUGGACGGAAACCAUUCGAAGAGUGCAAAGGCAGAAGGGAGCUUGACUGCGACACCGACGGGUGGAGCAGGUACGAAAGUAGGGCUUAGUGAUCCGGUGGUAUUAAGUGGGAAUGCCAUCGCUCAACGGAUAAAAGCUACCCUGGGGAUAACAGGCUUAUCACUCCCAAGAGUUCACAUCGACGGAGUGGUUUGGCACCUCGAUGUCGGCUCAUCGCAUCCUGGGGCUGUAGUAGGUCCCAAGGGUUGGGCUGUUCGCCCAUUAAAGCGGUACGCGAGCUGGGUUCAGAACGUCGUGAGACAGUUCGGUCCCUAUCCGGCGUGGGCGUAGGAUAUCUGAGAGGAGCUGUCCUUAGUACGAGAGGACCGGGAUGGACGGGCCGCUGGUGCAUCGGUUAGACUGCCAAGUCUACGGCCGAGUAGCCAAGCCCGGAAGGGAUAAACGCUGAAGGCAUCUAAGCGUGAAGCCCCCCUUAAGAUGAGAUAUCCCAUUCGAAAGAAGUAAACCCCCUUGAAGACGACGAGGUAGAUAGGGCAGAGGUGGAAGUGUGGCAACACAUGGAGCUGACUGUUACUAAUCGGGUGAGGGCUUGACCAAGAA
rnacentral:rRNA from 1 species